GACGUAGGGCGCGAGCGUUGUCCGGAUUUAUUGGGCGUAAAGAGCUCGUAGGCGGCUUGUCGCGUCGACUGUGAAAACCCGCGGCUCAACCGCGGGCCUGCAGCCGAUACGGGCAGGCUAGAGUUCGGUAGGGGAGACUGGAAUUCCUGGUGUAGCGGUGAAAUGCGCAGAUAUCGGGAGGAACACCGAUUGCGAAGGCAGUUCACUAUGCUUGUAUUGACACUGAGGCACGAAAGCGUGGGGAGUCAAACAGG
rnacentral:rRNA from 1 species